GAUGAACGCUAGCGGCAGGCCUAAUACAUGCAAGCCGGACGGCAAGUUGAGUAGCAAUACUUGACCUAGAGUGGCGUAAGGGUGCGUAACACGUAUGCAAUCUGCCCACAGCCGGGAGAUAGCCCUCCGAAAGGAGGAUUAAUAUCCCAUAGGAAGAUGAGAUGGCAUCAUUUUAUUUUAAACUACGGGGCUGUGGAUGAGCAUGCGGUUGAUUAGCUAGUUGGCGGGGUAAAGGCCCACCAAGGCGAUGAUCAAUAGGGGACCUGAGAGGGUGAUCCCCCACACUGGCACUGAGAUACGGGCCAGACUCCUACGGGAGGCAGCAGUAGGGAAUAUUGGACAAUGGGCGCAAGCCUGAUCCAGCCAUGCCGCGUGAGUGAUGAAGGCCUUAGGGUUGUAAAGCUCUUUUGUCCGGGGAAGAUAAUGACUGUACCGGAAGAAUAAGCUCCGGCUAACUCCGUGCCAGCAGCCGCGGUAAU
rnacentral:rRNA from 1 species